rnacentral:rRNA from 1 species
AACGCUAGCUACAGGCUUAACACAUGCAAGUCGAGGGGAAACGGCAUUGAGUGCUUGCACUCUUUGGACGUCGACCGGCGCACGGGUGAGUAACGCGUAUCCAACCUUCCCAUUACUGUGGGAUAACCUGCCGAAAGGCAGACUAAUACCGCAUAGUCUUCGAUGACGGCAUCAGAUUUGAAGUAAAGAUUUAUCGGUAAUGGAUGGGGAUGCGUCUGAUUAGCUUGUUGGCGGGGUAACGGCCCACCAAGGCUACGAUCAGUAGGGGUUCUGAGAGGAAGGUCCCCCACAUUGGAACUGAGACACGGUCCAAACUCCUACGGGAGGCAGCAGUGAGGAAUAUUGGUCAAUGGACGGAAGUCUGAACCAGCCAAGUAGCGUGCAGGAUGACGGCCCUAUGGGUUGUAAACUGCUUUUGUAUGGGGAUAAAGUUAGGGACGUGUCCCUAUUUGCAGGUACCAUACGAAUAAGGACCGGCUAAUUCCGUGCCAGCAGCCGCGGUAAUACGGAAGGUCCAGGCGUUAUCCGGAUUUAUUGGGUUUAAAGGGAGCGUAGGCUGGAGAUUAAGUGUGUUGUGAAAUGUAGACGCUCAACGUCUGACUUGCAGCGCAUACUGGUUUCCUUGAGUACGCACAACGUUGGCGGAAUUCGUCGUGUAGCGGUGAAAUGCUUAGAUAUGACGAAGAACUCCGAUUGCGAAGGCAGCUGACGGGAGCGCAACUGACGCUUAAGCUCGAAGGUGCGGCUAUCAAACAGGAUUAGAUACCCUGGUAGUCCGCACAGUAAACGAUGGAUGCCCGCUGUUGGUACCUGGUAUC